rnacentral:rRNA from 1 species
GACGAACGCUGGCGGCGUGCUUAACACAUGCAAGUCGAACGGAAAGGCCCUGCUUUUGUGUGGUGCUCGAGUGGCGAACGGGUGAGUAACACGUGAGUAACCUGCCCUUGACUUUGGGAUAACUUCAGGCAACUGGGGCUAAUACCGGAUAGGAGCUCCUGCUGGAGGGUGGGGGUUGGAAAGUUUCGGCGGUUGGGGAUGGACUCGCGGUUUAUCAGCUUGUUGGUGGGGUAGUGGCUUACCCAGGCAUUGACGGGUAGCCGGCCUGGGAGGGUGACCGGCCACAUGGGGACUGAGGUACGGCCCAGACGCCAACGGUAGACAGCAGUGGGGAAUAUUGCACAAUGGUCGGAAGCCUGAUGCAGCAACGCCGCGUGCGGGAUGACGGCCUUCGUGUUGUAAACCGCUUUCGCCUGUGACGAAGCGUUAGUGACGGUAAUGGGUAAAGAAGCACCGGCUAACUACGUG